rnacentral:siRNA from 1 species
AAUCCCUGACUGAGUUGAUGUCAC